UCUCCCACUUCAUGACCCUGG
rnacentral:misc_RNA from 1 species